rnacentral:rRNA from 1 species
GCUCCAAUAGCGUAUAUUAAAGUUGUUGCGGUUAAAAAGUUCGUAGUUGGAUUUCUGUGAAGGAUAACCGGUCCGCACUAUGUGCGUGUAUCUGUUUGUCCUUUGCAUCCUCGCGGAAUACGUCACUGUGCUUCACUGCAUGGGGCGGGCUUCGCGACUUUUUACUUUGAGGAAUUAGAGUGUUCACGGCAGCUCACGCC